AGAACGAACGCUGGCGGCGUGGAUAAGACAUGCAAGUCGAACGGAGCAUUCUGGUAGCAAUAUCAGGAUGCUUAGUGGCAAACGGGUGCGUAACACGUGGAUUACAUUCCAGAAAGCGCGGGAUAGCCCAGGGAAACUUGGAUUAAUACCGCAUGUGGUCGCAAGACUAAAGGCGCAAGCCGCUUUCUGAUUGGUCCGCGGCCUAUCAGCUAGUUGGUGAGGUAAAAGCUCACCAAGGCGACGACGGGUAGCUGGUCUGAGAGGACGACCAGCCACACUGGAACUGAGACACGGUCCAGACACCUACGGGUGGCAGCAGUCGAGAAUCUUUCACAAUGGGGCAACCCUGAUGGAGCGACGCCGCGUGGAGGAUAAGGUCUUCGGAUUGUAAACUCCUGUCAUGCGAGAGCAAGACAUGGCAACAUGUUUGAUAGUAUCGCAAGAGGAAGAGACGGCUAACUCUGUG
rnacentral:rRNA from 1 species